rnacentral:lncRNA from 1 species
CCAGCCCCCCCCAGCCCCAUUUCUGCCCCACUGCCCCCCAACCGCCCCUCGUUCCCCUCCCCCACUUCCCCGCACUCCUCACCGCCUCAAGCCCCGCCUCUUCCUCUCACGUGACCGCACCACGACCCUCCUCUUCCCGUCACGUGACAGCAACAAACUCUCCGCGCAUCCGCAUCCCCCCCCAUUCCACGCAUGCGCACUGAACACCACGCGGAACCCGCCCCUUUCCUCACGUGACCACAACAAACCGCUCUCUCCACGCAUGCGCACGGAUCACGCCUUCCCACCCGGCGCAUACGCGCUAGUUUACCGUCUCUCCCUUUUCCCGCAGAGCGCAUGCGCGCUACUCCUAACGCAUGCGUAUUCGCCACGGAUUACAUCCGGCGCAUGCGCGCUAACUCCCAUUCCGCUCAGCGCAUGCGCGCUUCUCACGCCCCGCCAGCUGACGCAUGCGCACUCUUCACCUCCUCGCGACGACGCAUGAGCACUUUCCGCUUCUCCCUUCCGGCGCAUGCGCACUGCCCUCCGCUCCCUCCCGGCGCACGCGCACUGAGCGCAGCCCGCAGCCGUGCGGGCGGAGAUGCGGCGAUGGCUGCGGCUGCGGGGAGCGGGGCGGAGGGCGGCGGCGGCGCUGCUGGGGCUGCUGGCGCUGGGCUGGGCCGCGGGGCGCUGGGGGGGGGCGGGUGAUGCGGGGGCUGCAAUGCACACAGGGGCUGCAAUGCAUGCAAAUGCUGCAGGGGCUGCAAUGCACGCAGGGGCUGCAAUGCACGCAGGGGCUGCAAUGCAUGCAAUGCACGCAGGUGCUGCAAUGCACGCAAGGGCUGCAGGUGCUUCAGUGCAUGCAGGGGUUGCAAAUGCUGUAAAUGCUGCAGGGUUUGCAAUGCACGCAGGCGCUGCAAUGCACACAGGCGCUGCAAUGCCUGCAAUGCACGCAGGGGCUGCAGGCGCGGGUUCAGCAGCGGUGGGGGAGGUGCAGGGGGUCGGUUUUGGGGAGGUGCAGGGGGUCCCAUUGCGGGAGGUGCAGGGGGUCGGNNNNNNNNNNNNNNNNNNNNNNNNNNNNNNNNNNNNNNNNNNNNNNNNCCCCUGCUCGGCUCCCCCCCCCCUCCUGCUGCUCCUGGUUCCCAGCAGCCCCGGCAACGCGGAGCGGCGCAGCGCCGUGCGCAGCACCUGGGGGGCGGCCGGAGCCCCACGAUGCAGGACCGUCUUCGGCUUCGGGG